rnacentral:rRNA from 1 species
CCUACGGGAGGCAGCAGUGGGGAAUAUUGGGCAAUGGAGGCAACUCUGACCCAGCAAUGCCGCGUGAAUGAAGAAGGUCUUCGGAUUGUAAAGUUCUUUAAUUGGGGACGAAAAAAAUGACGGUACCCAAGGAAUAAGCUACGGCUAAAUACGGGCCAGCAGCCGCGGUAAUACGUAGGGGGCAAGCGUUGUUCGGAAUGACUGGGCGUAAAGGGUGUGUAGGCGGUGUAGCUAGUUAGAAGUGUAAUACCUAGAGCUUAACUCAGGUGCUGCUACUAAAACUGAUAUACUUGAGUGCAGUAGAGGAAUGUGGAAUGCGUGGUGUAGCGGUGGAAUGCGUAGAUAUUACGCAGAACAUCAGUGGCGAAGGCGACUUUCUGGACUGUAACUGACGCUGAGGCACGAAAGUGUGGGGAGCAAACAGGAUUAGAUACCCCUGUAGUC